GUCGAACGAAACUUCUUUAUCACCGAGUGCUUGCACUCACCGAUAAAGAGUUGAGUGGCGAACGGGUGAGUAACACGUGGGCAACCUGCCCAAAAGAGGGGGAUAACACUUGGAAACAGGUGAUAAUACCGCAUAACCAUAGUUACCGCAUGGUAACUAUGUAAAAGGUGGCUAUGCUACCGCUUUUGGAUGGGCCCGCGGCGCAUUAGCUAGUUGGUGGGGUAAAGGCUUACCAAGGCAAUGAUGCGUAGCCGAACUGAGAGGUUGAUCGGCCACAUUGGGACUGAGACACGGCCCAAACUCCUACGGGAGGCAGCAGUAGGGAAUCUUCCACAAUGGGCGAAAGCCUGAUGGAGCAACGCCGCGUGGGUGAAGAAGGUCUUCCGAUCGUAAAACCCUGUUGUUAGAGAAGAAAGUGCGUGAGAGUAACUGUUCACGUUUCGACGGUAUCUAACCAGAAAGCCACGGCUAACUACGUGCCAGCAGCCGCGGUAAUACGUAGGUGGCGAGCGUUAUCCGGAUUUAUUGGGCGUAAAGGGAACGCAGGCGGUCUUUUAAGUCUGAUGUGAAAGCCUUCGGCUUAACCGGAGUAGUGCAUUGGAAACUGGGAGACUUGAGUGCAGAAGAGGAGAGUGGAACUCCAUGUGUAGCGGUGAAAUGCGUAGAUCUUUGGAGAGAACACCAGUGGCGAAAGCGGCUCUCUGGUCUGUAACUGACGCUGAGGUUCGAAAGCGUGG
rnacentral:rRNA from 1 species